UGGGGAAUAUUGCACAAUGGGCGGAAGCCUGAUGCAGCGACGCCGCGUGGGGGAUGACGGCCUUCGGGUUGUAAACCUCUUUCAGUGCAGAACAAGGCUCUUUGUGGGUUGAGGGUAUGCGCAGAAGAAGCGCCGGCUAACUACGUGCCAGCAGCCGCGGUAACACGUAGGGCGCGAGCGUUGUCCGGAUUUAUUGGGCGUAAAGAGCUCGUAGGCGGUUUGUCGCGUCUGCUGUGAAAUCCUCUGGCUUAACUGGGGGCGUGCAGUGGGUACGGGAAGACUGGGGGGCGGUAGGGGAGACUGGAAUUCCGGGUGUAGGGGGGGAAUGCGCAGAUAUCAGGAGGAACACCGGGGGCGAGGGCGGGUCUCGGGGC
rnacentral:rRNA from 1 species